CUGUCCUACUGGACUGGAGCCCCCAGUGUAACAGACUGUCCUACUGGACCGGGACCACAGCCCCUAUAGUAACAGACUAUCCUACUGGACCGGGCCUGGAGCUCUUGUUGUAUCACCAUUAUUCAGCUACGCUGCUCCCCAAGGGCACCAAUAUUAAUGUGACUCAGUGCAGCAGCCUAUCCAGUAAUACAGAAAGUAAAUUCAGGUCAUUGCCGUGUUUGGAAAGCACAUGAUGUGGCCACGCAUGGCAGGAGCAGGGCUCAGCGUGGAGCAGGCUGGGAAGCUCUGGCCGCUCCGGGACCUCCCACAGAAACAGCUGGAAACCCGGGUCGUCCUGCCGGGCCAGAACCGGCACGAGUCCGGGGACUCCGGGCAUGUUGGUCCGGGAGCUCCCCACCCCAGUAAUCGUUUUAAAAGACACCUGUUCUUCUCCUUUCCGCCUGGAAUGAACCUGCACUCGUUCCUCUGCAGUUUUAGAGACUGGUCCGCCUUCUAACGGGCUUCGAAGACUGAAAGCGUCCAGCUGGCUUAUGGUUCGAAAGCUGUCGUUCGUGGACUUCGCAGGCAACAGGUGUCAAAAAAACUGAACGAAAUCUUCUCAACUUUAUCGCCAAAUUAAAAUAAAUGGAAAAACUCCUCGAGUCUACCUUAAAAUGA